CAACAGGGAUUGCCUCAGUAACGGCGAGUGAAGCGGCAAUAGCUCAAAUUUGAAAGCUGGCUUACGCCCGCGUUGUAAUUUGUAGAGGAUGCUUCGGAUGCGGUGCCGGUCUAAGUUCUUUGGAACAGGACGUCAUAGAGGGUGAGAAUCCCGUAUGUGACUGGUGGCCUGCGUUUAUGUGAAGCUCCUUCGACGAGUCGAGUUGUUUGGGAAUGCAGCUCUAAAUGGGUGGUGUACUUCAUCUAAAGCUAAAUAUUGGCUGGAGACCGAUAGCGCACAAGUAGAGUGAUCGAAAGAUGAAAAGCACUUUGGAAAGAGAGUUAAAUAGUACGUGAAAUUGUUGAAAGGGAAGCGCUUGCAAUCAGACUUGCGCUGCGUCGAUCAACCUGGGUUCUCCCUGGUGCACUCGGCGCAGCUCAGGCCAGCAUCAGUUUCGGCGGUUGGAUAAAGGCCUGGAGAACGUGAGUUGCUUCGGCGACUGUUAUAGCUCCAGGUGCAAUGCAGCCAGCUGGGACUGAGGACCGCGCUUUUCGCGAAGCUAGGAUGCUGGCGUAAUGGUUGUAAGCGACCC
rnacentral:rRNA from 1 species